rnacentral:rRNA from 1 species
CCUACGGGCGGCAGCAGUGGGGAAUAUUGGACAAUGGGCGAAAGCCUGAUCCAGCCAUGCCGCGUGUGUGAAGAAGGCCUUCGGGUUGUAAAGCACUUUCAGUGGGGAAGAAAGCCUUGGGGCUAAUACCCUCGAGGAAGGACAUCACCCACAGAAGAAGCACCGGCUAACUCCGUGCCAGCAGCCACGGUAAUACGGAGGGUGCGAGCGUUAAUCGGAAUUACUGGGCGUAAAGCGCGCGUAGGCGGUCUGAUAAGCCGGUUGUGAAAGCCCCGGGCUCAACCUGGGAACGGCAUCCGGAACUGUCAGGCUAGAGUGCAGGAGAGGAAGGUAGAAUUCCCGGUGUAGCGGUGAAAUGCGUAGAGAUCGGGAGGAAUACCAGUGGCGAAGGCGGCCUUCUGGACUGACACUGACGCUGAGGUGCGAAAGCGUGGGUAGCAAACAGGAUUAGAUACCCGUGUAGUC